UACAGAGGUCCCAAGCGUUGUUCGGAUUCACUGGGCGUAAAGGGUGCGUAGGCGGUCGGGUAAGCCUGAUGUGAAAUCUCACAGCUUAACUGUGAAACUGCAUUGGAUACUAUCCGGCUAGAGGAAUGGAGGGGAGACUGGAAUACUUGGUGUAGCAGUGAAAUGCGUAGAUAUCAAGUGGAACACCAGUGGCGAAGGCGAGUCUCUGGACAUUUCCUGACGCUGAGGCACGAAAGCCAGGGGAGCAAACGGG
rnacentral:rRNA from 1 species